CGGACGGGUGAGUAAUGUCUGGGAAACUGCCUGAUGGAGGGGGAUAACUACUGGAAACGGUAGCUAAUACCGCAUAACGUCGCAAGACCAAAGAGGGGACCUUCGGGCCUCUUGCCAUCGGAUGUGCCCAGAUGGGAUUAGCUAGUAGGUGGGGUAACGGCUCACCUAGGCGACGAUCCCUAGCUGGUCUGAGAGGAUGACCAGCCACACUGGAACUGAGACACGGCCCAG
rnacentral:rRNA from 1 species